ACGCUGGCGGCGUGCCUAACACAUGCAAGUCGAACGGGGUAAUCCUUCGGGGUUACUUAGUGGCGAACGGGUGAGUAACGCGUGAGAAACCUGCCUUUCAGUGGGGGACAACAGUUGGAAACGACUGCUAAUACCGCAUAAUGUUAUUUAAGGGCAUCCUUGAAUAACCAAAGCUUUAUGUGCUGAAAGAUGGUCUCGCGUCUGAUUAGCUAGAUGGCGGGGUAACGGCCCACCAUGGCGACGAUCAGUAGCCGGUCUGAGAGGAUGAACGGCCACAUUGGGACUGAGAUACGGCCCAGACUCCUACGGGAGGCAGCAGUGGGGAAUAUUGGGCAAUGGGGGAAACCCUGACCCAGCAACGCCGCGUGAAGGAAGAAGGCCUUCGGGUUGUAAACUUCUUUUACCAGGGACGAACACAAUGACGGUACCUGGAGAAAAAGCAACGGCUAACUACGUG
rnacentral:rRNA from 1 species